ensembl:lncRNA
UUAGGACCCUGGUUCUGGGGCUGCUCCGUCUCUGGGCUGACGGGCACGUCACUGCAACCCCCCCUGGCUUCUGCUCCGCGGCUGCUGAGUGAGCCCUCAUCUGGGGCUCUCCUCAGCUCUUUCUGGGAUAGUGGUGCGGCUGCCCCUCUGGUCUUCCUUGGUCUCUUGUGUUCUGAGGGCCUCUGGAUGUCUGGAGUCUUGAUCUCCUCCGUACCUGCUUCAUGCCCUGGAGGACGGGGCUGUGGCCCCCCCACACCCUCUAGCAGAUCAUUACAUGAAGGAACCUUUUAAAUACAAGCGCGCUCAUGCUCAUGUGUACACACGGGUGCUCACACACACAAACUACACCCUUUUUUGGCUCCUACCUCAAAGCACACUGCGCUGUCGAUCUUACGUGCUGCACAAUAAUGUUUAAUAUUUAGUAUUUACUGUUACUGUAUAUUCCCAUAUAUCAUCGUGAUGUUGUUUAUUAUGUUGCUCUUUUUUUUCUUUUUUUCUUUUUUUUCCCUUCUGCUUGUUUUCUCUUUUUUCUUUCUCAACAGGUGAUCCAGGUGAUUGAUAUGUAUUUUUUGUCUGCUUAUUUUGUUGGUUUUUGUUUUUUGCCCUUGUCCAUCUUCCUCGCUGUUUUUCUUUCCCUCUUUCUUUCUCCCUUUUCUUUUCCCCAGUCAAGUCUGUCCCGUAUUUAGCAAGUGAAAAUAAAAUAAAAUAAACAAUAAAAGGCGAAUCAAAUAGACCAUUACGGCAAGGCUGGGAUUGUCCAUUUGGUAAAGUAAAUCCGUCGGGCAUCUUUCUUCGCCUUUAGACAAUAAUUCUGAUUGCAAAUAAGCCAAACGGGACAGACAAAAAAAAUAAAUAAAUAAAAGGAAAUGAUGACAUCCAUUGUGGUCAUCUGCUGCUGUAGCCCAUCUGUUUCAAGGUUUAAAGUACUGUGCUCUUGGAGAUGCUUUUCUGCAUACCUCGGUUGUAGCGAGUGGUUAUUUGUGUUACUGCUGUCUUCGUAUCCACUCAAAGCAGACUGGCUGCUCUCCUCUGCCUCCCUGGGUAUCUUCUCUAUGCUGGAUUAUUUUCUGUAAAUCCCAGAUAUGACUGUGUAGGAAAAUCUCCAUACAGCAGCAGUUUCUGAAACACUCAAACCAGCUUGCCUGCCACCAGCAAAAAGGCCAGUUUCAAAAUCUCUUAAAUUACUUUUUCUUCACCAUUUCUAAUGGUCUGUUUGAACUUCAGC